ACAAAACCCGUUAAGUAACUAGCUAAUUAAUAAAACCCUGGAUACAAGUUCCAGAAUGCAUUGCGACGAAGCUGUCCCAUGUUCCAACACUGAUUAAUGUCUUUUCCUUUAAGCCCGAGAAGCAGACAAAAUGCAUAGCGUUCGUUGGGACCGCCGUCAAGAAGCUGACCCAUGUUCCUCCACAGUUUCACUCCUAAGCGUUCGUCUCAACUUCUACGUGUGACUUUGGAUGACUGGCAAGGUGUUUGAUCUGCAGCCUGUUUGCAUGAAUCGUGCCGGAGGGAAAGCUCGUCCUUUGGGGAAGGAAAGAGUCUUCAUCUUCAUCUUCAGCUGCAGGCACCUCUGUUAACCCCUCUGCUGGCAGCACACUCAAACACACCUCUGCUCGCGCUGAGCACAACACGCCCACACAGCAACAAGCCUGCAAACAAUCACUCAUCAGUACACCUGGACUUGACGAGGGGGAGCGGCAUAAAGACCAGCGGACCCAAGGAACCUUUGCCAGAACUUCGCUAACCUUCCAUGACUCUCCUGACCUCCGUGAUCGUGCCUUGUCACUCAACACCCAUCCGGAUUCCUAACUGCCCUCCUCGAUCCACGACCUCUCUGCUCGGACCUAGACCACGCUGCCCUGCUCUUGCCCAUGACCACUUGCCUGUCCACGAACUGCCUCUUCGCCUUGCCCCCUUGGAUAACGACGAAAGAUACAACCAACAUUUACAGACAACAACCCUUGGUGGCGCCGUCACUCAGGAGGAGCGCUGGACUUGGUGCGAUCACUUGACCCCGGCCAAGACAGCUGAGUAUUUGCAUGGCCUAUAUUUACUUCUCUAAUGACUGCCUGCUGCGGACUUUGCAAGGCAUCAUUAAAACUAUAUAUAAGUACAUUAUCCAAAUCCCACAUGGACAUGCUGACU